rnacentral:tRNA from 1 species
GGUUAUAUAGUAUAGUGGUUAGGACAUCUGCUUUACAUGCAGAAGGUCCCGAGUUCACGCCCCAGUGGAGCCA